rnacentral:lncRNA from 1 species
GGAAUUCGUACCCCAACACCGAAAGCACAUCAAGCACAACACAAUAUUAAAGUGCAAGAAAAUAAAAGAACACAAGAAUGGUCACUGAGUUCGGCCUAAAAGGCCUAAUCUGGGGGGCUCAGGUCAGCCCAAUCCACUAGUGCAAAAACCACCUCCCAGAAAGAGUUCAAUACAACCAAACACUUCACCUUACCAGAUUGAUCAUCGAUCUACAAGAUCUCACAAAGAAUCUGGACUUUCUACACAACAUAUUAAUCUGACCGAAAAAUAUAUUCCUACAGUAUACAACCACACAACCGGAAUAACCUAUGGUUACUAGCUUACAAAAGCAACAAGAUUUUAUCAUAAAAAAUACACUUCUAUCACAGAAGGAAUUUCGAUUAGAAGAAGAAACCAAGAUGAAGAUUUCUUGAAGUUUUAGAGAGAGAGAAAAUGUGAUUGAAACAAAACUCCAAAAUGCAACCAGUGAAGUGACCCGUUUUCAGCCAAAAACGUGACUUGAAGAGUCACUUUUAAUUCAAAGUAAGAUCUCAACCAUUGGUUUAAUCCAAUGACCCUUAUAAUUUCCAAACAAACACAGAUCCGGGUCACGUCCAAUGCUCCAAUCAGUAGCUGCCAUUUGAAGUCUUAACAAAUUUCCGAAAAUACCCUCAAUUUAAAACACAACUUUAGAAACACGUUUUUCUCCUUUCAAUCUUCACCUUGUUUCUCAAGUUGUACACAUCCUCUCAGUUGCGGAAUUUUGCACUUAUAGUGGAAAGGCUGAACAACAUCAUUGCCUUAGGUACCUGCAAAGAAAAAUUACCCAGUAUCAAUGUUGAGAAGUGACAAACACAUUCUAAACUUACUCACAGGCAGAAUUUUUGUGCCCAUAUCAGAUGGGUUAAUGUCAGUAUGAAUUUUAUCUAACAUCAUUUCACCUAAAGAUAGUUUCUCUCUUAUGAAAUGAUAUUUCACCUCAAUAUGCUUGGACCUUUCAUGAUAGACAGGGUUCUUGCUUAACAAUAAUGCACUCUGACUAUCAAUAAGAAUAAUAGGUGAUGAAAAAAGAAAAUUCAGUUCACUUAAAAUUCCUUUCAGCCAUAUACAUUCUUUAACACAUUCAGUAAUUGCCACAUAUUCAGCUUCAGUACUGGAUAAAGUGACAGUUGGUUGAAGUUGAAACUUCCAUGUGAUACAAUUAUCACCAAGUGUAAAGAAAAAAGAUGUGGUAGAUUUUCUUUGAUCCUUGUUUCCAGCAAAAUCAGAAUCCACGUACCCUUUAAGGGUUAAUGGUUCUGAUCCCUUUUUGUACACUAAUCCUACACUUAGUGUCCCAGCUAUAUACCGUAAUAGCCAUUUUAAGCCAGCCUAAUGUGGUUUUCCCGAGUUUGCCAUAAACCUACUUAAAAAACUGAUUGAAUAUGCUAGAUCAGGUCGUGUUGUUAUCAUAGAAAACAUUACUAAUCCUAUUGCAUUGGAGUAAGGGAUAUUUUCCAUGUCUUUGGCCUCAGAUUCAGUUUUAGGACAUUGGGUUGAGGAGAGAUUCAUGUGAGCAGCAAGUGGAACAUUAACAGACUUAGCUUCUUUCAUGCCAAACUUAGAUACAACUUUAUGUAGGUAAAACUCUUGGGUUAUUAUUAACCUGUCUUCUUGUCUAUUCCUAGUUAUCACCAUUCCCAGUAUUUUCUUGGCAUUCCCUAAGUCUUUCAUGUCAAAUUCAAAUUUUAGGAGGUUCCUCAUUCUUUUUAUUUCAGCCUUGCUUGAACUGGCUAGCAGCAUAUCAUCUACAUACAAGAGUAGAUAUAUCUCGCUGCCAGGUUUGGAGUUAUAGUAAUAUAAGCAAUGAUCAUACUCACUUCUCCUAAAACCAAUUUUCACAACAUGUGUCAAACCGAAUGUACCACUGUCUUGGACUUUGUUUGAGUCCAUACAGUGAUUUCUGCAAUUUACAAACAUGAUCAGAUUUCUCCUUUUCCUCGAAACCUUGAGGUUGACACAUAUAGAUGUCCUCAUCCAAUUCCCCAUGCAAGAAUGUUGUUUUGACAUCUAAUUGUUCAAGUUCCCAAUUAAACUGAACAACUAGAGCAAGUAUUAGCCUUAUUGUCUUAUAUUUGAUUACAGGUGAACAAAUUUCAUUGUAAUCAAUUCCCUCCCUUUGGGUGAACCCUUUGGCCACUAAUCUUGCCUUAUACCUCAAAGGGUCAUUGGGGGACAUGCCUUCUUUUAGUUUGUAAAUCCACUUGCAUUGAACCACUCUCUGUUUUUUAGGUUUCUUCACAAGUUUCCAUGUUUUAUUAUCAUUCAGGGAUUUCAUUUCUUCCCUCAUGGCAUCUUUCCAAUUCUGAGAUUUAGAACAACUUAUAGCUUCAUCAUAAGUAUAAGGUUCAGCAUGUUCUAAGUUCUCACCAGUGAUAAGGGCAAAGUCUGUCAGAUUAUUAGUCUCAUAUCUUGGAUUAGGUUUAAUCUGUUUCCUUUCCCUAUCUCUCACUAAUUCAUAAUCUUGGGUACUAGUUUCAUUUUCAGGUGUCACAAUUUCAGUUUCAGUUUGGGCUGUUAUAACUUCACCUUCGCUUGUGUCGUCUGAUCUUACAUUUGGCUGUUCAUUUUUAGGUUCAGUUAUCUCAAUAGAAUUGUGACCCAAUCUUGCCAACUUUACCUCAUUCUGUGAAGUACUAUUUUCAAUUGCAUCCUGUUUAUCCCUUUUACUUUUUAAGCAUGGCAUCUCAGAUUCAUUAAACACUACAUUUCUACUGUUAAUGAUCUUAAUGCCUUUCUCACCUAGUACCCAUAACCUGUACCCUUUAACUCCUUCAGGGUACUCCAACAUGACACAUUUGGUGGCUCUAGGAUCUAAUUUGCCUCCAACUUGAUGUGCAUAUGUAGCGCAUCCAAAGACCCUAAUAUUAGACAGAUUAGGUGUUUUUCCAGUCCACAAUUCCUGAGGGGUCUUCAACUUUACAGAACUGCGUGGUGACCUAUUAAUUAGAUAGGCUGCAGUGCAUAAAGCUUCUGCCCAAAAACCUUUUGCUAUACCAGAACUUAUUAGCAUGCAUCUAACUUUAUUCAUUAGAGUUCUGUUCAUUCUUUCAGCUACCCCAUUCUAUUGGGGUGUGUGCUUAACAGUUCUAUGCCUAAUUAUUCCCUUUUGCCUGCAAAAGUUAUCAAAUUCUGCAUUACAGAAUUCCAACCCAUUAUCUGUCCUUAAGGUUUUUAAUUUUCUGCCCAAUUGAUUUUCAACCGUCGUUAACCAAAUUCUGAAUUUUUGAAAUGUUUCAGAUUUUGUCUUUAAGGGGUAUGUCCAGACCUUUCUAGAAUAAUCAUCAAUUAUAGAAAGAAAAUAUUUAUUCCCACCAAAGGUUGAGUGGCUUUCUGGACCCCACAAAUUUGAGUGGACAUAAUCUAAAGGUCUAUUUGUAGUGUGUGACCCCGUCUCAAAACUGACUCUAUGAGAUUUUCCAAGUACACACGUCUCACAAAAGUCAAGGGGCUCUAUAUUAUCUUUUCCAAACAAUUUUUGAUCAUUUAGAUAUUCUAGCCCCUUAUUUCCAAUAUGUCCCAUUCUACAAUGCCACAAUUCAGAUUUACUUUCAGUAAUGGUUAAGGAUUUUGGAUCAUGGGAAUUAACAGUCUUACCCAUUAGGUAGUACAAACCAUUCCUCUUUAGUCCCUUCAUAACUACAAGAGAUCAUUUGAGAAAUUUCAAAGUAUUAUUUUCAGAUUUAAAAGUGUGUCCCUCAUCUUCAAGAAUUCCUAGUGAAAUGAGAUUUCUUUUUAGAUUUGGGACAUGUCUUACAUUUUUAAUCUGCCUGACACUACCAUCAUACAUUUUGAUUGUAAUGUCACCGAUUCCAAGAACAUUUUGUGAAUUAUUAUCACCCAUAUAUACUUUCCUGGGUUCUAUCUCCUUGUAGUUAUGAAACCAAGUUUUAUUUGGGCACAUAUGAAUUGUACAUCCAGAGUCAAGUAUCCAGUCAGUGUCUGCUUCAUCGUUAGACACAGUCAUAACAAGAAGGCUGUCAAGUUCUGAACUUACAGCAGCAUUAUUCAACUCAUUGUUAUUAGGUUCUUUUAACUUCUUCUUUAAUUCGAAGCAAUCCCUUUUGAAGUGUCCAAGUUUUCCACAGUGAUAGCAUUUUUUAUUACUUUUAUCCCUUGACUUGGACCUACCUCUUGAUUUAGAUUUGAACCUCUUAUUCAACGAAUGGUUCUCUCUUUUAUCAGUUCUCCCUCUCACAAACAGGUUCUCCUCUCUAGGGUUAAUUCUUGUUUCCUUCUUAACCUCCAGCUCCCUAGAUCUUAGGGCAUUUGUCACAAUUGUUUGUGUUAAGGUAUCUCUCGAAUAUUUUAUUGCAUUUCGGAUAUCUUUAUAAGAUUCGGGUAGUGAAUUUAGAAGGAUCACAGCCAGAUCUUCAUCCUCAAAUUUCUUAUCGUUAUGUGAAAGACUCUUGACAAGAAUGCUAAAGUCACUGAGAUUAGAUUCUAAGUCUUUUCCAGGAUCCAUUUUGAAGCUAUACAAUUUUUCCAACAGGUAGAUCUUAUUAGGCAGUGUUUUAGUUAAGAACAAAGUAUCUAGGGCUUCCCACAGGGCUCGAGCAGUUUUAUGUUCUUCAACUUAUCUCACUAUGUUAUCAGACAAGUGUAGUAUAAUUGAACUAUAUGCUAUUUCAUUCAUAUCUUCAAUUUCAGUAGGCUUAGCUUUCAAUUCAUCAGGAAACUUUUCAGGAUCAUCAAGGGCUUUUGCAACCCUUUGUGGACCAAAAUGGCCCUCAUUUUCUGUUUCCAUAUAGAGUAAUUACCCUUUCCAUCGAAUUGACUUAAUUCGACCUUCGAACCCAUUGCGGGUUCUGUAAAAGGAUUGUUACUCAAGGACAUAAGUGAUUUAAUUCAAGAAAUCACUUAAGUUACAGAAAAAGUUUUUGAAAUUUUUUUUUCCAGAUAAUUGACAAGUAAGCUGACCUGAAAAUAAGCAGACAAUAAUCCAAUAUAUACUGAUAAAAAACACAAUAACUAAAAAAGGAUCAAUUUCAGAUUUCCAAAAAUCUGGUACCAAUCAAUAAGAUUCCAGAAAAAAUGAAAUUUCCUAAAAAAGUUUUCCUAUCACAAUUAAACACAAUAUUCAGUUUCUUUGAAUGAUACAAUCACAAUAACAUGCUUGAAAUCAGAUUCAACAUUUAUAUCAGGCAAAGGACAACAGUGUUUAAUUGUUAAAGAUCUCACCAAAAUACUGUGUAAUACAAUAUUUAAACAACGCAGUUUCGGUUUCUGCAGAUAGGGGUUCGAAACCCUAGCUUCCAAGAAUCACUAUAUUUCACUUUCAAAUCACUGCACAAGUGAAGUAAAGAUGUUAAUACGAUAAGAGAUUAAACUGUAUCCAAAUAUACCUUACCUCACGGCCUUGUAGGCUCUGAUACCAGAUUUGUUAGGGAAUUCGUACCCCAACACCGAAAGCACAUCAAGCACAACACAAUAUUAAAGUGCAAGAAAAUAAAAGAACACAAGAAUGGUCACCCAGUUCGGCCUAAAAGGCCUAAUCUGGGGGGUUCAGGUCAGCCCAAUCCACUAGUGCAAAAACUACCUCCCAGAAAGAGUUCAAUACAACCAAACACUUCACCUUACCAGAUUGAUCAUCGAUCUACAAGAUCUCACAAAGAAUCUGGACUUUCUACACAACAUAUUAAUCUGACCGAAAAAUAUAUUCCUACAGUAUACAACCACACAACCGGAAUAACCUAUGGUUACUGUAGCUUACAAAAUCAACAAGAUUUUAUCAUCAAAAAUACACUUCUAUCACAGAAGGAAUUUCGAUUAGAAGAAGAAACCAAGAUGAAGAUUUCUUGAAGUUUUAGAGAGAGAGAAAACGUGACUGAAACAAAACUCCAAAAUGCAGCCAGUGAAGUGACCCGUUUUCAGCCAAAAACGUGACUUGAAGAGUCACUUUUAAUUCAAAGUAAGAUCUCAACCAUUGGUUUAAUCCAAUGGCCCUCAUAGUUUCCAAACAAACACAGAUCUGGGUCACGUCCAAUGCUCCAAUCAGUAGCUGCCAUUUGAAGUCUUAACAAAUUUCCGAAAAUACCCUCAAUUUAAAACACAACUUUAGAAACACGUUUUUCUCCUUUCAUAUAC